GAUGAACGCUGGCGGCGUGCCUAAUACAUGCAAGUCGAGCGAACAGACGAGGAGCUUGCUCCUCUGACGUUAGCGGCGGACGGGUGAGUAACACGUGGAUAACCUACCUAUAAGACUGGGAUAACUUCGGGAAACCGGAGCUAAUACCGGAUAAUAUAUUGAACCGCAUGGUUCAAUAGUGAAAGACGGUUUUGCUGUCACUUAUAGAUGGAUCCGCGCCGCAUUAGCUAGUUGGUAAGGUAACGGCUUACCAAGGCAACGAUGCGUAGCCGACCUGAGAGGGUGGUCGGCCACCCUGGAACUGAGCCGCGGUCCAGACUCCUGCGGGACGCACCAGUAGGGAAUCUUCCGCAGUGGGCGAGAGCCUGACGGAGCGGCGCCGCGUGAGUGAUGAAGGUCUUCGGAUCGUAAAACUCUGUUAUUAGGGAAGAACAAAUGUGUAAGUAACUGUGCACGUCUUGACGGUACCUAGUCAGAAAGCCCCGGCUAACUACGUG
rnacentral:rRNA from 1 species